GACGAACGCUGGCGGCGUGGAUUAGGCAUGCAAGUCGAACGGUAUCAUCCUUUCGGGGGUGAGAGAGUGGCGAACUGGUGAGUAACACGUAGGUUAUCUACCCUCAAGACGGGGACAACCCAGGGAAACUUGGGCUAAUACCGGAUGUGAGCAACUUUUAGUUGUUUGAAAGGUGGCGUAAGCUGUCGCUUGGGGAUGAGCCUGCGUCCUAUUAGUUAGUUGGUGAGGUAACGGCUCACCUAGGCAAUGAUAGGUAGGCGGCCUUAACGGGUGGUCGCCCACACUGGGAUUGAGAUACGGCCCAGACUCCUACGGGAGGCAGCAGUCGAGAAUAGUCUACAAUGGUCGGAAGACUGAUAGUGCGACGCCGCGUGAACGAUGAAUCCCUUCGGGGUGUAAAGUUCUUUUAUAUGUGAGCAGUGCUUCUUAUAUUAACAGUAUGGGGAAGAGAUAUUAGCAUAUGAAUAAGCAACGGCUAACUCCGUGCCAGCAGCCGCGGUAAAA
rnacentral:rRNA from 1 species